CUGUCAGGUGGGAUAAUCUUUACAUGUUCCUCUACUCAGAGGGCAGGUAGGACAUGACGGAGUUCACAUGAUUCGUGGUUAAUGUCUCUGUGUGAUUGGGGCUUGCAACACACUUAAUUGCUCCCAUCUGAU